rnacentral:rRNA from 1 species
CCCAAAAAGCGAAUUCCAAUAUAUGUUUUCUGCUUUAUGUGCGCAUCCUCUACCUAUUAAGUGUUAAUUAAAUUAAAGGGUUUCUUUUUAAAAUCUUCUAUAACUAAUAAAAAAUAUGGAAGAUUUUGUUACUUUGAGUAAAUUAGAGUGUUCAAAGCAAACAGAUAAUAUAGCAUUUGUGCGUUUGAAUACUACAGCAUGGAAUAACAAAAUUGAACAGGUCAAAACUAUGUUUCUUUUUUUUUAUUUUUGGCUUAGUUACGAUUAAUAGGAGUAGUUUGGGGACAUUUGUAUUCAGAUGUCAGAGGUGAAAUUCUAAGAUUUUCUGGAGACAAACAACUGCGAAGGCAUUUGUCUAAAAUACUUCCAUUAAUCAAGAACGAAAGUUAAGGGAGUGAAGACGAUCAGAUACCGUCGUAAUCUUAACCAUAAACUAUACCGACUAGGUUUUGGAUGAAAGUAAAACAAAUAAGGAUAGUCUCUUCGGGGAUAGUUCUUAGAUUUCUUCCUUCAGUACCUUAUGAGAAAUCAAAGUCUUUGGGUUCUGGGGCGAGUAUUCGCGCAAGCGAGAAAGUUAAAAGAAUUGACGGAAGGGCACCACCAGGCGUGGAGCUUGCGGCUUAAUUUGACUCAACACGGGAAAACUCACUAGUUUAAGACAAGAGUAGGAUUGACAGAUUAAUAGCUCUUUCUUGAUUUCUUGGAUGGUGAUGCAUGGCCGUUUUUAGUUCGUGAAUAUGAUUUGUCUGGUUAAUUCCGAUAACGAACGAGAUCUUAACCUGCUAAUUAGCAGUAAGUACAACAUAUUUCUAUGCUGAAUUUGUAUUUGGAUAAUUUAAAAGGUUUUUUUGCCGUGCAUAUAAUGAGUACGGAAAAAAUGCAUACUGCUACCUUGUACCUAAUAAUACUUGGCGCGCCUAUGCAUAUUUCCAACCCUCUAUUCCCUGUACCGCAAUAAAACUGGAUUAUGAUGCCAUUUCACUUUUAUGUAGAAAUGUAUUUGCUUU